rnacentral:rRNA from 1 species
GAGUAACGCGUUGGUGACCUGCCCUGAAGUGGGGGAUAACUACCCGAAAGGGUGGCUAAUACCGCAUACGCUUGGUGAUUCGGUUCACCAAGUAAAGCUACGGCGCUUCGGGAGGGGCCCGCGGCCGAUUAGCUAGUUGGUGAGGUAAUGGCCCACCAAGGCUGUGAUCGGUAGCUGGUCUGAGAGGAUGAUCAGCCACACUGGCACUGAGACACGGGCCAGACUCCUACGGGAGGCAGCAGUUAGGAAUAUUGGACAAUGGGCGAAAGCCUGAUCCAGCGACGCCGCGUGGGUGAUGAAGGCCUUCGGGUCGUAAACCCUUUUCUGGGGGAAGAGCAAGGACGGUACCCCAGAAUAAGCUCGGCUAACUACGUGCCAGCAGCCGCGGUAAAACGUAGGAGACGAGCGUUAUCCGGAUUUACUGGGCGUAAAGCGCACGCAGGUGGUCUUGUAAGUCGGGCGUGAAAUCUUCUGGCUCAACUGGAAGGGGUCGUCUGAUACUGCAAGACUUGAGGGCGGGAGAGGGAAGCGGAAUUCCCGGUGUAGCGGUGAAAUGCGCAGAUAUCGGGAGAACACCAGUGGCGAAAGCGGCUUCCUGGCCCGUUCCUGACGCUCAGGUGCGAAAGCGUGGGGAGCGAACGGGAUUAGAUACCCCGGUAGUCCACGCCGUAAACGAUGCACACUGGACGUCGGAGCCUCUGACGGUAUCGGCGUCGUAGCAAAAGUGCCAAGUGUGCCGCCUGGGGAGUACGGCCGCAAGGCUAAAACUCAAAGGAAUUGACGGGGGCUCACACAAGCGGUGGAGCAUGUGGCUUAAUUCGAAGCAACGCGAAGAACCUUACCCGGGUUUGAAUGCUUGGAUGCCUACUGGGGAUAACUCGGCUAGGCUGCCCUUCGGGGUGAAACUUGCACAGGUGUUGCAUGGCUGUCGUCAGCUCGUGCUGUGAAGUGUCGGGUUAAGUCCCUUAACGAGCGAAACCCCUAUCGUUAGUUGCCAGCGGGUCAUGCCGGGGACUCUAGCGAGACUGCCGGCGUUAAGCUGGAGGAAGGUGGGGACGACGUCAAGUCAUCAUGGCCUUUAUGCCCGGGGAUGCACACGUGCUACAAUGGCGUGCACAGAGCGAUGCAAGACCGCGAGGUGGAGCAAAUCGCAAAAAACCGCCCCAGUUCGGAUUGGAGUCU